rnacentral:rRNA from 1 species
GACGAACGCUGGCGGCGUGCUUAACACAUGCAAGUCGAACGGAAAGGCCCUGCUUUUGUGGGGUGCUCGAGUGGCGAACGGGUGAGUAACACGUGAGUAACCUGCCCUUGACUUUGGGAUAACUUCAGGAAACUGGGGCUAAUACCGGAUAGGAGCUCCUGCUGCAUGGUGGGGGUUGGAAAGUUUCGGCGGUUGGGGAUGGACUCGCGGCUUAUCAGCUUGUUGGUGGGGUAGUGGCUUACCAAGGCUUUGACGGGUAGCCGGCCUGAGAGGGUGACCGGCCACAUUGGGACCGAGAUACGGCCCAGACUCCUACGGGAGGCAGCAGUGGGGAAUAUUGCACAAUGGGCGGAAGCCUGAUGCAGCAACGCCGCGUGCGGGAUGACGGCCCUCGGGUUGUAAACCGCUUUCGCCUGUGACGAAGCGUGAGUGACGGUAAUGGGUAAAGAAGCACCGGCUAACUACGUG